CCUACGGGUGGCUGCAGUGGGGAAUAUUGGACAAUGGGCGAAAGCCUGAUCCAGCCAUGCCGCGUGUGUGAAGAAGGCCUUCGGGUUGUAAAGCACUUUCAGUGGGGAAGAAAGCCUUGGGGCUAAUACCCUCUAGGAAGGACAUCACCCACAGAAGAAGCACCGGCUAACUCCGUGCCAGCAGCCGCGGUAAUACGGAGGGUGCGAGCGUUAAUCGGAAUUACUGGGCGUAAAGCGCGCGUAGGCGGUCUGAUAAGCCGGUUGUGAAAGCCCCGGGCUCAACCUGGGAACGGCAUCCGGAACUGUCAGGCUAGAGUGCAGGAGAGGAAGGUAGAAUUCCCGGUGUAGCGGUGAAAUGCGUAGAGAUCGGGAGGAAUACCAGUGGCGAAGGCGGCCUUCUGGACUGACACUGACGCUGAGGUGCGAAAGCGUGGGUAGCAAACAGGAUUAGAUACCCUUGUAGUC
rnacentral:rRNA from 1 species